ensembl:lncRNA
AAGGAAGACAAGAGGAGAGGCAGGGGAGGGGGGGCCUUCACCUAGGACAGAAGCAAGAAGCAAGAACUUCAAUUCUAAGGCAACAUCCGUUCUCUGACCCAGUCUCCAUUCAAUACCAGCUUUUAGGGGAGGGAAGAAAGACACAAACUCAACGUGCCUAUCCCUGGACUUCAGAAAUGACCAAAAAAAAAAAAAAGGUGUGUUUUAGGAUCAAGGAAAUAUGAUGUUUACUUAGAAAUGAAAAUUGAUUGCCUUUAACUUAUGAUAAGAUAAUUACGCUCCUCUGAGUCAUUGUCAUGCAUUUGUGUUCAUAAACCUCCCUCAUUAAGUAGUAAGGGUACAUGUAUUUUAUCUUAAUUCAUUUUUUAUAGGGCUGUGAAUUCCUGCAUUUAUCUACUUUUGUUUUCCUGUGUAGACACAAGGCUGCUUGGCCUCCCAGAGAGCCAGUAUCACCAACUCGAUGGACAUGAGUUUGAACCAACUCUGGGAGAUAGCGAAGGACAAGGGAAGCCUCGUGUGCUGCAGUCCAUGGCGUCACAGAGUUGGACAUGACUUAGCAACUGAACAACAACACAGAACUGUUGCAAGGAUUUGAUGAGAUAAUACUACAUCACCUCUAUAAAGGAGGAGCUGGUCUCAUCCGAAGUCAAUAAAUGGUCUCAGCCAUUCCUCCACACUGUCCAAGUUACCACGAAUGACCUCAUCAUCGUGAACUGGCAUUGGGUUGAUUGUGUGAUCGCUUGAGAAGAGGCAGGGAGAGUGGAACCAGUUCUGAUGGAGACUCGGAGAUCUCACUGCCCAGUUUCAAAUCCCAGUUUGACAGCUCCCUAGUUGUAUGAUCUUGAACAUGCAAUCUCAUAACUCUUUAAGCCUGUUUCCUCAUCUGUGAGAUGGAGCUAAUAAUGAGAUCUCCCUCAUAGAGUGGUUGUGAGGAUUCAAUGAGAAUAUUCAAUGUACCUGUAAAGUUUAGCACAGUAAAUAAGUAAUCAGAUGAGUUUUAUUAUUAUUAUGCACCUGCCCCGUGCUGGAUACUUGCUGUAUGUAUCUGGUGCUCUGAUCUCUGUAAGGUUAGCAUUAUUUGCUUCAUGUCGAAAAUGGAG